rnacentral:tRNA from 1 species
GGAUGUGGCUCAGUGGGAGAGUACUUUCCUAGCAUGCAUGAGACCUUGGUUCCAUUCCCAGCACUG